rnacentral:rRNA from 1 species
GAUGAACGCUGGCGGCGUGCCUAAUACAUGCAAGUCGAGCGAACAGACGAGGAGCUUGCUCCUCUGACGUUAGCGGCGGACGGGUGUGUAACACGUGGAUAACCUACCUAUAAGACUGGGAUAACUUCGGGAAACCGGAGCUAAUACCGGAUCAUAUAUUGAACCGCAUGGUUCAAUAGUGAAAGACGGUUUUGCUGUCACUUAUAGAUGGAUCCGCGCCGCAUUAGCUAGUUGGUAAGGUAACGGCUUACCAAGGCAACGAUGCGUAGCCGACCUGAGAGGUGGAUCGGCCACACUGGAACUUAGACACGGUCCAGACUCCUGAGGGAUGCAGCAGUAGGGAAUCGGGCGCAAUGGGCGAAAGCCGGACGGAGCAACGCGGCGUGAGUGAUGAAGGUCGUCGGAUCUUAAAACUCUGUUAUGAGGGAAGAACAAAUGUGUAAGUAACUAUGCACGUCUUGACGGUACCUAAUCAGAAAGCCACGGCUAACUACGGG